GGCGCCGCCAAGACCCUGCCCCGAGCCGCGGGGGCCUCCCGCUGCUCUCCGAGGUCGGCUCGCGGCCGCACCCUUUCGGAGCUGGGGCUCCCGCCGAAGGCCGCCGCUGGGACCCGCGAGCGAGGCGCAGACGAGCCUUCCCCGACACAAAGGUCUUUUCUAGAUCUUCCCGCUCGCACCCUUCCCGGCUGCCGGAGGGGGAGCAGCAGCCCCGGAUGCGCCCCGGGCCCCUCACCGGGCGUGGACGGAGCCCGUGCUCGCGCCCAGGGCUGGCGCUCCGGGGUCCUUUUGUGAACGGAGGCAAGCGUCCCCUCCCUGCUUCUUCGAAAACCGUCAGCUGGGUUCUCAGCACUGCGUGCCCUGAAUAAUAAAUUGGCUUCUCGAGGGUCGUAAUCUGGGCCCCACCCUGUGGAGCUUUGAGCUGGCCCAGCUUCUCCGGGCCGGCCUAUGGGGAGCGGGGGUGCCCCACAGCAUCCCCGGGUCGGGCCGCGUGGGGAUAACCAGGGGCCCACCGCGGGGUCUGAAUCCGAAUCUCUGCGGCGUGGGGUGGGGGUGGGGGGUGGGGCGGAAUUCGAAUUUUUCUGGCAAAUUACCCGGGUGAUUCUGAUGGCAAAGCCAGUGUGGGGAUCACUCUCCUAAAUCUUAAACCUGCCUUCGGGCACGCAGUUGUUAAGAUUCCUCCCCUGAAGAAUUUCUGGAGAUGGAAUUGUCACACACACCCCCUUGGUCCACGGCGAUGUUUAUUCUCCCUGCUGCGGGAGAAACUCCUGAGCCUGGCCGCACGCCCUCCUGCUUUCCUUAAGCGCAUCCUCUUCAGCUGGGUUUUCUAAUGGGAUCACGAACCUGUUGGAAGACAGCUGUCCUGCCCUCCUUUGGGGGAUCUUUCUCAGAAGACCUGUUUGCCAUGCUCAACCUGUGAAUCCAGCGGACCUACGUGACCCGGCCGCAGGGGGAGAAGCUCGGUGGCCACUUGCUCCUGAGCUAGGAGCGGGGUCCCUUCCCGGAGUGGCUAUAUAGCAGCACCCUUCCAGGAUUUAGAAGAUAACAAGAAGCUCCCCAAGGACUGGAUGCUGGAAAAAUCACCGCCAAGGGAAAGGGGAAGAAGCCUGCAGCAGGUCAUGCCUGACAACACCAUCUUCCCUUUCGCUGGCCCUCGUCCUCCCUUUCAGGAUGAAUUAAAAUCCUUAUCUGCUCCGUGUCCAGCGGACUUGGGACUCGCCUUCCUGACCUCAGCGGCUAGAGCUUCCCAAGCUUCUUGGGGUUAUUUUUGCCUCCGGGUGGUGGUCAUUACUUCCUUCCACAGUAUGAGGUUUGACACAGUGACAGAAAAAGAAUCAAUUAGCAAACACCCUCAAAAUGGCAGAACUGACCCCCAAACCUACUUUCAUUUUCUUCCGGUCUGGGUUGUGGGUAAUUUCUUGACAACUGUGAGAAAAAAGACAAUGAAAAUUGAAUUGUUUUUUCCAAAGCAAUGGUGAACAGAUGUCUAAUUCCCCGCUCUCCAGAAAGUUCUGGGAAUCCCUUACAUCACCUUAAAGGGGCAGAGGUGCGGAGGGCUGUGUUGAUAUUCAGCACCUGGGGCGGGGAGGCGGGGGUAGGUGCUUAGCCUUGUCCUAAAGACGGGCAAAGAGAACACAGGUCACCUUGGCUGGUGAUUCAGGGCUUCUAAAUUUGGCCCUGGGAGCAGCCUUGCUUCCUUUCUGCAAUUGAUCUGAACUGCAGAAGCCCAUUUUGAGGGUCCGAGAAUCACAUUUACAAACCGUGGGGGUGAAGGCCGUGCUAAUUGGCCACUUGCCUCACCCCUGGCUUUUAAACAAUCACUUGUAUUCUCUGCCCGGCAGGAAGCAGCAGGCCCAUCAAGGCUCUGGGCUCUGUCUUUGUUCUGACUUUAUGGCAUUUUAUGCCACAAUAAGAAACACUGUGUACUCCGUGGGAGCCCAUUGUGCUGGGCUGCAAGAUGUGGGCUCCCGUGCAGAGGGCUGGUGCUCUGCCCCCGGGAGAAGAGGGGCUUUGUGACAGGCCCGAGGGCAAAACAAGGGGUGCUGGACACUGUUACUGGGGCAACUGCUGGCCAGUGUGGAGGCCGCCAUGGCUCCUGGGUCCCUGUCAACAGCAGGCUAGGAGGAGGGCAGGAGAAGGAUGGACAUUGUUCUAAGAAGCAGUCCCAGUCACCGGAUAAAUUCUACAGCAGGACUGUGCUAACCGCGGCCCCCAACCCUCUGGGCUGCUGAGCUGGCCUCAUCCUGCUUCGAGACUCGGUGCCAGGUGACCGCCUCUGCCUGUAAGCCAGCUCUCAUUCCUCGAAGACACGCCAUCUGGUAUACAAGCUACAUCUUUGUCCUGGCGAUGACAGUGCCAUAGCCUACCCAAGUGACCACGAAGACCUCAACAGAUGGCACAUGUGAUCGCCAGCCCUGCAAGGUUUGGGGAAGUGCGGCCGGAUGGGCCCGCUCAGAGACCGACUCACCCUUCCUCUCGAAACUCGGCUGUAGUUGAGCCUCAUGAGUUCUGCAAAUCUCUGCUCAUAGAGGUGAAGCAGCAGCACCAGCCACUUUUUCAGGCAAUCCUGAUGAACAAACUGCAGGCUUCCCACACAGCCGCAAGGCUCCAGGAGGGGGUUGGUUGGGGAACCCCCGGCUAUCUGACAGAUGCGACACAGGUCUCCCUCCUCCUCCUCCGAGUCCUCCUCCAGGAGACUAAAUGGAAAACAAGCCCUGGUGACCGGGGGGUCUGCGCAGUUUCUACAAACUACAACUACUACUACUAUUUCCCAGGAUGUUAAAGGGAGAGGCCCCGCCAGGGCUGCCCGGGCUCCCCCACGGCUCUCUCUGACCCUACCGAAGAUUCUUCCAGGUGACUUAUAGUAGAUUCACGGACCCUUGUAGUGGACUCCUUGGCAGUUACUGACACGUGUGAGCCAACUGCCAGAAAUCUAGAGGCGGUGGACAAGGCUACAGAGGAAGACCAUGGAAGAGGCUGGGAGCUCCUCUCCAAGUCGUGGCCACUGUGGAAGUUGGUGGUACACCGUGUUGAUCCUGAAACCCUGGGUCAGAAGUGAGAAGAUCCCUGUGGGACAUGAGCAGCCUGCCACCCGCAGACACCCAUCCAUCCCUCCUGGGCCAGGAAAACAGCUUUUUCAUAAAGAAUGCUCAAAGGGCCCAGCAGUGGGGAAGGCAGUUAAGAGACUGGGCCCAGCUGGUCAGAGAAGAACUGGAUUUGGAACCUGGCUCUGGGACCUUGGAGCUGUGUGAGCUCGGGAAGAUCACUUCACCUCUUGAAGCCUCAGUUUCCCCACCUAGUAAAUGAAAUAAUAAUACCUAAUUUGCAAAGUCGUUAUCACCAUGAAUGAGUACCUGUGACACCUGCAAUGCAGAGUCUAUAAGGGAGUGUGUCCUUUCGCUAAGAAGUGUCUAGUUUCCCAUUCAUAGAUGUUGGGUUGGGCAUGUUGCUAACAUUGUCAAGAACCAUCUGCAUUUGGGACACACAAAAGCCCUCUCCCCAACUGCACUUCCAAGGUUGAAUCACAGCCUAUUUUGUUUCUAUAUAUCCUGAGGUGGUUUAUUAGCAGCUCACAUGGCCUUCCAAAAAGGUUCCAGGCAUCCGGGCUAAGUAUACCUGUUUUCUUGGCUGUGUGCUAUGCACCACUGUACUGGAUGAUAAACUCACAGGAAGAUGGUAGCUGGAAUGCUAAUGUGGGUUGAGGUCCCAAUGAGUAUUUUUUUAAAAUUCCCAUUUUGAACCGGGUUGC